GGAGAAUGCGGGGACCGAACUCUUGCUGCAGAGUUUCGAGCGCCGCUUCCUGGCGGCGCGCACGCUGCGCUCCUUCCCCUGGCAGGGGGGCGGCGGGCGAGCGGAGAGGCCCGCGGGGCUCGCGGGAGUCCAGGGGCAGACGGGAUGGGUCUCCGUGCUGAAACCCCCGGCGCUCCUGCCACAGCUUAGAAGCAAAGUUAAGAGACUCAUCAGAUUCUGAGCUGCUGCGGGAUAUUUUGCAGAAGACUGUGAAGCAUCCUGUGUGUGUGUGAAGCACCCGCCGUCAGUCAAGAAAGCCCGGUGCUUUCUCUCAGAACUCAUCAAAAAGACGUGCUGUAUUGCCCAGAAGCCAUCGUGUCGCUGGUCGGGAUCCUGCGGAGGCUGGCUGCCUGCUGGGAGCACCAGCAGUCUCCUGAGGUCUACGUGGCCUUUACCGUCCACAACCCAGAGACGUGCCAGCUGUUCACCACCGAGCUAGGUGAAACCAAAGAAGGGGAAACUGAGAGACCUGUCCGAAAUCCUCCACCGAGCCACUCGGGAGCCUGGAAUAGAUACAGCCGGUCAACUGACCUGUUCUCUAGGCACAGCUUUUUGGAUUUGCCACUUGCGUCUUCUUCAAGUUUUAGAAACUUCCAGACUCUGGCUUUUUUGCUGCUUUGGGGAACAAAGCAUGUUCAUUCAAGUGUACAGCAAACCUGUCCUGCUCCUAAAUCCAGUCAUCUUCAAAAUAGAUUUUUGAGGUUUA
ensembl:lncRNA FAM86DP family with sequence similarity 86 member D, pseudogene